CACCUACGGGUGGCUGCAGUGGGGAAUUUUGGACAAUGGGCGCAAGCCUGAUCCAGCAAUGCCGCGUGCAGGAUGAAGGCCUUCGGGUUGUAAACUGCUUUUGUACGGAACGAAACGGCUUCUUCUAAUACAGGAGGCUAAUGACGGUACCGUAAGAAUAAGCACCGGCUAACUACGUGCCAGCAGCCGCGGUAAUACGUAGGGUGCGAGCGUUAAUCGGAAUUACUGGGCGUAAAGCGUGCGCAGGCGGUUAUGUAAGACAGAGGUGAAAUCCCCGGGCUCAACCUGGGAAUUGCCUUUGUGACUGCAUAGCUAGAGUACGGUAGAGGGGGAUGGAAUUCCGCGUGUAGCAGUGAAAUGCGUAGAUAUGCGGAGGAACACCGAUGGCGAAGGCAAUCCCCUGGACCUGUACUGACGCUCAUGCACGAAAGCGUGGGGAGCAAACAGGAUUAGAUACCCUGGUAGUCCACGCCCUAAACGAUGUCAACUGGUUGUUGGGUCUUCACUGACUCAGUAACGAAGCUAACGCGUGAAGUGACCGC
rnacentral:rRNA from 1 species